ensembl:lncRNA
UGCCUGUGAGCCUUCUGUCCACCUCUAUGGUGGACUGCCUGUGAGCCUUCUGUCCACCUCUAUGGUGGGAGAACAAAGUGCUGCUGGAUAUAUAUGACACAGUCCCCUUUAAAAACAUAUUUGUGUUUUUCACCCUGGGUUUACCUGAGACAGGAAGUAAAGUUGUUUUUAAAUUCUCUACUGGCCCUGGUGUAUUCCAUAUACAUUGCACGGGGGGUGGGGGGGAGACAAUGGAGGGGGGCAGAACACGAAGUGCUGCUGGAUAUAUACGACACAGUCCCUCUCAAAAACGAAACAUAUUUGCUUAGUAGAGACCUUAAUGAAUUAUUUCCAACCCACUUUAACUGAGGAGACAGGGUCCUACAGACAGGGGCCUACAGACAGGGGCCUACAGACAGGGGCCUACAGACAGGGGCCUACAGACAGGGGCCUACAGUCAGGGGCCUACAGAAGGGGCCUACAGUCAGGGGCCUACAGUCAGGGGCCUACAGUCAGGGCCUACAGAAGGGGCCUACAAACAGGGGCCUACAGACAGGGGCCUACAGACAGGGCCUACAGACAGGGGCCUACAGACAGGGCCUACAAACAGGGGCCUACAGACAGGGGCCUACAGACAGGGCCUACAGACAGGGGCCUACAGACAGGGGCCUACAGACAGGGGCCUACAGACAGGGGCCUACAGACAGGGCCUACAAACAGGGGCCUACAGACAGGCCCUACAGACAAGGUCCUACAGACAGGUCCUGCAGCCCAAUAUUUCAACAUUGUAUUUUUCAAUAUUGGUCCUAAAAAGUUGUCUUUGAAGCAAUUUUUUUCCAUAAGUAACUUAUUGCAUUUUCUUAUUAGCACAAUAAAGGUGGCCAUUGAUUAAAAUGGAAUCUUUUGAAUCAGUUAUUGAUGUUGAAAUUCAGGCUUUUAUGUUGAAGUUUUUUUAAUAGAAAUGUUUUUUGUUUUUUUUGUGAAAUAAGGUGUCAAGAAUGUGUAUUUUAAUUGACCUGCCUGAUAAAGUUAAG